rnacentral:rRNA from 1 species
UAGAUAGUAGGAGGGGUAACGGCCCACCUAGUCUUCGAUGGAUAGGGGUUCUGAGAGGAAGGUCCCCCACAUUGGAAAUGAGACACGGUCCAAACUCCUACGGGAGGCAGCAGUGAGGAAUAUUGGUCAAUGGGCGAGAGCCUGAACCAGCCAAGUAGCGUGAAGGAUGACUGCCCUAUGGGUUGUAAACUUCUUUUAUAAAGGAAUAAAGUCGGGUAUGUAUACCCGUUUGCAUGUACUUUAUGAAUAAGGAUCGGCUAACUCCGUGCCAGCAGCCGCGGUAAUACGGAGGAUCCGAGCGUUAUCCGGAUUUAUUGGGUUUAAAGGGAGCGUAGAUGGAUGUUUAAGUCAGUUGUGAAAGUUUGCGGCUCAACCGUAAAAUUGCAGUUGAUACUGGAUAUCUUGAGUGCAGUUGAGGCAGGCGGAAUUCGUGGUGUAGCGGUGAAAUGCUUAGAUAUCACGAAGAACUCCGAUUGCGAAGGCAGCCUGCUAAGCUGCAACUGACAUUGAGGCUCGAAAGUGUGGGUAUCAAACAGGAUUAGAUACCCUGGUAGUCCACACGGUAAACGAUGAAUACUCGCUGUUUGCGAUAUACUGCAAGCGGCCAAGCGAAAGCGUUAAGUAUUCCACCUGGGGAG